AUUGAACGCUGGCGGCAGGCCUAACACAUGCAAGUCGAGCGGAUGAAGGGAGCUUGCUCCUGGAUUCAGCGGCGGACGGGUGAGUAAUGCCUAGGAAUCUGCCUGGUAGUGGGGGAUAACGUCCGGAAACGGGCGCUAAUACCGCAUACGUCCUGAGGGAGAAAGUGGGGGAUCUUCGGACCUCACGCUAUCAGAUGAGCCUAGGUCGGAUUAGCUAGUUGGUGGGGUAAAGGCCUACCAAGGCGACGAUCCGUAACUGGUCUGAGAGGAUGAUCAGUCACACUGGAACUGAGACACGGUCCAGACUCCUACGGGAGGCAGCAGUGGGGAAUAUUGGACAAUGGGCGAAAGCCUGAUCCAGCCAUGCCGCGUGUGUGAAGAAGGUCUUCGGACUGUAAAGCAUUUUAAGUUGGGAGGAAGGGCAGUAAGUUAAUACCUUGCUGUUUUGACGUUACCAACAGAAUAAGCACCGGCUAACUUCGUG
rnacentral:rRNA from 1 species